rnacentral:lncRNA from 1 species
CGCUGCCGUCACCACCCACUGCUCCUCCACCAGCACCCCCCCGCAGUACAGCUUGGACAUGUCCAAGAUGGCCGCCUGCCACGGCUGGGAGUGGGGCUCACAGUCAUGGCCCCCCACCACACGCGUGUCACCUACUGAGGGGGUCACUGCAAUGGCAGGAGGACACGUGUGUCAGUACCAUAACACGUGUGUCAGCAACACAACACGCGUGUCAGCACCAGUACAUGUGUGUCAGCAACACAACACGUGUGUCAGCAACACAACACGCAUCUCAGCAGCACUACAUGCAUGUCAGAACCACAACACGCGUGUCAGCAACACAACACACGUGUCAGCUACACAACACGCAUGUCAGCACCACUACAUGCGUGUCAGCACCAGUACAUGUAUGUCAGCACCACUACACGCGUCGGCACCGCAACACGUGUGUCACCAACACAACACGUGUCAGCAGCACUACACGUGUGUCAGCACCACAACACGCAUGUCAGCACCAGUACAUGUGUGUCAGCACCACUACACGCGUGUCAGCAACACAACAUGCGUGCCAGCACCACUACAUGUGUGUCAGCACCACAACACGCGUGUCAGCACCACUACACGCGUGUCACCUCCUGAGGGGGUCACUGCAACGGCAGGAGGACAUGCGUGUCAGCAACACAACAUGCGUGUCAGCACCACAACACGCGUGUCAGCAACACAACACGCGUGUCAGCACCAGUACAUGUGUGUCAGCACCACUACAUGCGUGUCAGCAACACAACACGCAUGUCAGCACCACAACACGCGUGUCAGCACCACUACACGCGUGUCGCCUCCUGAGGGGGUCACUGCAACGGCAGGAGGACACGCGUGUCAGCUACACAACACGUGUGUCAGCAACACAACACGCGUGUCAGCACCACAACAUGUGUGUCAGCACCACUACAUGCAUGUCAGCACAACACGCGUGUCACCAACACAACACGUGUCAGCAGCACUACACGUGUGUCAGCACCACAACACAUGUGUCAGCACCACAACACAUGUGUCAGCACCACAACAUGUGUGUCAGCAACACAACACGCGUGUCAGCACUACAACAUGUGUGUUUGCAACACAACACGCAUGUCAGCAACACAACACGUGUGUCAGCAGCACAAUACGUGUGUCAGCAUCGUCACAUGUAUGUUAGAACCACAACACACGUGUCACCACCUGAGGGGGUCACUUCAAGGACAGGAGAACACGUGUGUCAGCAUCAUAACACGUGUGUCAGCAACACAACACGUGUGUCAGCGUCAUCACAUGUAUGUCAGCACCUCCACAUGUGUGCCCCCUCACACGUAUGUAACCGCUCCCACAUAUAUGUCCUCCUACAUGUAUGCCCCCCCUACGUGUAUGUAACCCCCCCCACAUGUAUGUAACCCCCCAUGUGUCCCCCAUGUGUGUCCCCCCACAUGUAUGUUCCCCCCCACAUGUAUGCAACCCACCCCACAUGU